AAUAGAUACCCGGGUAGUCCACGCCGUAAACGAUGAGUGCUAAGUGUUGGAGGGUUUCCGCCCUUCAGUGCUGCAGCAAACGCAUUAAGCACUCCGCCUGGGGAGUACGACCGCAAGGUUGAAACUCAAAGGAAUUGACGGGGGCCCGCACAAGCGGUGGAGCAUGUGGUUUAAUUCGAAGCAACGCGAAGAACCUUACCAGGUCUUGACAUCCUUUGACCACUCUAGAGAUAGAGCUUCCCCUUCGGGGGCAAAGUGACAGGUGGUGCAUGGUUGUCGUCAGCUCGUGUCGUGAGAUGUUGGGUUAAGUCCCGCAACGAGCGCAACCCUUAUUGUUAACGUUGCCAUCAUUUAGUUGGGCACUCUAGCGAGACUGCCGGUGACAAACCGGAGGAAGGUGGGGAUGACGUCAAAUCAUCAUGCCCCUUAAUGACCUGGGCUACACGACGUGCUACAAUGGGAAGUACAACGAGUUGCGAAGUCGCGAGGCUAAGCUAAUCUCUUAAAGCUUCUCUCAGUUCGGAUUGUACGGCUGCUAACG
rnacentral:rRNA from 1 species